UAUUAUGCACAUUCCUAUAGUAUAAUGUUAAUGCAUUGGAUCCCAUUAUAACUCCACAAUUCAGCGUGCUCGGGAUAGAGUACUGGGAUGGGUGAUCACUCGGGAAGUCCUAGUGUUUUACAU
rfam:Picea glauca, whole genome shotgun sequence.